rnacentral:tRNA from 1 species
GCGCGCGUAUCUACGGAUCAGAAGGUUGGGGGUUCGAAUCCCUUCGCGCGCA